GCAGCUCCCGCACAGGUACAGCCAUUCUUACUCCCUUCUAGCAAGCGGCACCCAUGCUCCGGACGGGCACACCGAGACAGACAGAGGCGUGGUAGCUUGCCCAUUGUUCACACAGCCUCCCCGCGGCCAGGCUGCUCUGAAGCCAGCGGUGCCCAGCGCCCAUAUCUAUUUCUGAAGAACAUACAAGGCCUGCUAAGAAUUUAGAACUGCCCUUUCUUCAUCAGUCCAGUGCUACCGUCAACAUGACUUUGAGGACUCUCAGAGCUCUACUGGCGUGGAGAUUGCAGUGUUCCAGUAGAAAUGAAGACAGUUAGACCUGCAGCACAAGAAGAUGCUGCCCAAACAACCGUGCUGAUACCACUGCAGACAGGACACAGAAACGCCUCAGAGAUCUUCGCAAAUGCAGGAGGAGAGCGGUGCACUGUCAGCCCCAACUCAAGUUCAGACAAACUCAACAUUCUCAUUAGAACGCCUUCUACGUCUUUAUAAUAUAUGGUGCUUCCAAGGAUAGAGAGAACUCUGCCUGCAGUUAAUUCUCAAACACCCAGGGACUGAUGAUAGCGUUUGUGAAUUAUUCCGGCUGAUUUCUCCACCUGCUUUGUCCAUGACACUAUUUUCUAUACACAUUUCACAAAAAGAGAGCAAACAGGGGAAUG